rnacentral:rRNA from 2 species
AAACCAACAGGGAUUGCCUUAGUAACGGCGAGUGAAGCGGCAAAAGCUCAAAUUUGAAAUCUAGCACUUUCAGUGUUCGAGUUGUAAUUUGAAGAAGGUAACUUUGGAAUUGGCUCUUGUCUAUGUUCCUUGGAACAGGACGUCACAGAGGGUGAGAAUCCCGUGCGAUGAGAUGUCCAAUUCUAUGUAAAGUGCUUUCGAAGAGUCGAGUUGUUUGGGAAUGCAGCUCUAAGUGGGUGGUAAAUUCCAUCUAAAGCUAAAUAUUGGCGAGAGACCGAUAGCGAACAAGUACAGUGAUGGAAAGAUGAAAAGAACUUUGAAAAGAGAGUGAAAAAGUACGUGAAAUUGUUGAAAGGGAAGGGCUUGAGAUCAGACUUGGUAUUUUGCGUUCCCUUCCUUUUUGGUUGGGUUCCUCGCAGUUUACUGGGCCAGCAUCGGUUUGGAUGGUAGGAUAAUGACAUUGGAAUGUAGCUUUACUUCGGUGAAGUGUUAUAGACUUUGUUGAUACUGCCUAUCUAGACCGAGGACUGCGUCUUUGACUAGGAUGCUGGCGUAAUGAUCUUAAGCCGC